rnacentral:rRNA from 1 species
AGAGUUUGAUCAUGGCUCAGGAUGAACGCUAGCGACAGGCUUAACACAUGCAAGUCGAGGGGCAGCGGGGAGUAGCAAUACUUCGCCGGCGACCGGCGCACGGGUGAGUAACACGUGUGCAACCAACCCCGUACCGGGGAGAUAACCCGCGGAAACGUGGACUAACAUCCCAUAAGACUCUAGAGCCGCAUGGCUUUGGAUUUAAAAUUCCGGUAGUACGGGACGGGCACGCGCGACAUUAGGUAGUUGGCGGGGUAACGGUCCC